rnacentral:rRNA from 1 species
AUUGAACGCUGGCGGCAUGCCUUACACAUGCAAGUCGAACGGUAACAGGUUAAGCUGACGAGUGGCGAACGGGUGAGUAAUGUAUCGGAACGUGCCCAGUCGUGGGGGAUAACUACUCGAAAGAGUGGCUAAUACCGCAUACGACCUGAGGGUGAAAGCGGGGGACCGUAAGGCCUCGCGCGAUUGGAGCGGCCGAUAUCAGAUUAGCUAGUUGGUGGGGUAAAAGCCCACCAAGGCGACGAUCUGUAGCUGGUCUGAGAGGACGACCAGCCACACUGGGACUGAGACACGGCCCAGGCUCCUACGGGAGGCAGCAGUGGGGAAUUUUGGACAAUGGACGCAAGUCUGAUCCAGCCAUGCCGCGUGCGGGAAGAAGGCCUUCGGGUUGUAAACCGCUUUUGUCAGGGAAGAAACGAGUUUCUCUAAUACAGAGACUCAAUGACGGUACCUGAAGAAUAAGCACCGGCUAACUACGUGCCAGCAGCCGCCGUAAUAC